AUUGUGAAUUAAAGAACCUGGAGAACGAUGAAGAACAAACCAGUUGCUGCCAAAGUAUAAUGUUGAGGAGGAUCCGACAGACCCGGCUCCUCCUCCGCUCUCCUCUUCUCUCUCCCUAUUUUCUAGAUUACAACUAGAACUAACUAGAACUAGAACUAGAGGAACUAGAACUAGAACUAGAUGAACUAGAACUAGAACUAGAUGAACUAGAGGUAGAACUAGAAGAACUAGAGGGAUCCUCUCUACUUGGAUGAAGAAUUGAAACCCUAGCUUUGAUUCUGUAGAAGAGGUAUGCUCUCCAGGGGCCAGGGGGCCUUGCUUAUAUAGUCUUUUCAGAUGAAUCUGGGCCGUCGGAUCAAACCGACAUUAAUCGCACGGUUUUCCUUGGUCCCUUAGGUCGGUAGAGCACGAUCCGUGAAGUUGAAGCUGAUUGGUUACUGUAGCUGGGCGGGCACCCAAGGGACUUGGGCGGGCGCCCUACCCCCGGGCCCGAUCGGCCUCCCGUUCGUUCCUGUGGCUUCUGGAGUCUUCUAGAUGGUAGAAAAUUGUGCGGCACGUUAAUAUCUCUAUGUAAACCCGACGUGUGGGCCUUUCUUUCAUAUUUCCUGAUAACCCCCUGCAGAAAUAGACAAACACCAAAACUCGUGGAAUUAUGUCAGAUAAAACCCUAAGUCUGGGUGUUGGUUGCAUUUGGAUCCUUUUCCAUGAUUAGUUGAUGGUUAAAUGUGAGCAUUAAGGACCGUCAACAAGCUCCCCCAAGCUUAACCUUUGCUCGUCUCAAGAGUUUCUGCAGUGGUUUUAUGCCUUAAAAAUACACAUUCGUUCAAACAAGAUCUCAUCUCUGGGUUAGGGUAAACUGUUAAAAUUUAAACUUACUCAUAUUACCUUCCACCAUCGGGCUUGCAACCGUCACUUGUGUCUUGAGCAGUUAAAAGAUAGAACGGUCUAGUCAAGCGCCAUGUCUCUUAUUCUUGAUCAACUAUAGCUCUAGAGUUUUUGCAGAUUUUCAAAUAAAACUCAGUGAUUCCUUAUAUGACUCUUUCUAGUCUCUCUUUUGUGGUAUUUCUGGGUCCUUACCAAGGCAGUAAUGGUGUAUGCCUUCUCUCAAAGUAUGUGGUAUUUUUGGUUUGAGGCAUAGUGGCAUUACCUUCUCUCUCACCCUACUCUAAUAAGGUUUUGAUAUCUGGAGCUCAUAGGUGGGAGACAGCUAAUACAUACUUACAAGACAUUUAUUGCAUAGUCAAACCAUGGAUCCAGAAGAACAAGUCAAUAAGUCAAAUCAAGAUGUGCAUGUGUGGCGAAUGAAUGAUGUAUGGUGAUGAUGGUAAUAACAAUGGUGAAAGUCUAAUUCUACUUGUGCUCUUUUGAGGGGGUACAUACCUUUCUUUCUCUUUUAAAACUUUUUGAGGAGAAUGCGAUGCUCUAUAUUUUCUUUUUCUUUUCUCUCAGGUGGGUAACUUGUACCCCUAAUUCUACUAUCGGACACUUGUCCAUUUUUACCUCUCGUCUUACUUUUUUUUUCUUUUGAGGUUCCGGGCACUUGCCCCUUUUUAUUUCCUCGUAUUUUUUUCUUCUUCUUCUUCUUUUUUUUAUUAGAGCACUCAUCUCAUGAGAUAAUAUAGCAAGUGGUAGUAACAAGAUAGCUUGAGCAUUUAUUUCACAGGGAAAAACAGAAAUAUUUUUGGCUAUUCUCUCCCGGAUUAGGAGUAGAAUAUUUUUGGGUGGUUCUGGAGAUGGAAAUGGAUAUAUAUGGAUGGUACUUCCGGAGUACAAGUAGCAUGUGUGAGUGAAUGUGCAAGUGAAUCUUGACUUAACCACAUGACAAGCUCCUAAGGGUCUACACAGCUUGACCACACUCAAUGCUCAUAAGCAGUAAAAAGUAAACGUGUGGCUCAAAGUCUAGCAAGCAUGUAUAUAUGGUUGUGUUAGGAAUUUAAACUCUCAUCAUAUAGGAACUCAUCAUGCAAUAUUUUAAAGAUUUUCAAAGAUAAAAUUCUCCAGAAUUCUAGCAUCUCUAGGAACAGAUAAACAGCAGCUCAACUUCCCAUAUCAUAUCAGUUAACGACUUAGACUUUAGAUCAAGUAUUCUCCCCACAAGUUCAGGUUUAGAGCAAAUUAAUAACAGCCAGGCCUAAACUUGAGAGAGAGAUUUCAAUUUUGAGAACUAGUCAUGGCAGAGCAACUAUUCAUCAUUUCCAUGUGAGAGCUUAUCAUGAGGGUUCAUAGCAAACUUUAUUUAUUUAUUUAUUUAACAAACUAAGCAAAGAUAUAUAUAAGCACAAAAUCUUUAUUUGGGUUUUUUAUGAUUAUGCAUCUUUUUAUUAUUAAAGUAACGUAUAAACGUGAGUAGAAUACUUAGCUGGAUAAAUGGGGGUGCUCUCCCCCAAGCUGGAUUUUGAUGUAAUUCCUUCUGAUAUAGCUAGGAGGUGGCAGAGGUGUAUUUGAAUGUCGGCAGCACCCUGACAGCGAUUAGGAUGUCCUCCGUCUGCUAGUCUUCUUUGAUCCUUGAAUUAUGUGGAGCUCAAAUAGACAACAAAGCUCUUGGCAAGGGGUUCGGUGUUUUUAAGUCCUCCGAACGGGACUCUCUGCUUUCUCAGUCGUCCUGGGAUUCGCUGGAUGGCGUAGUCGGUGGUUCCGGCGGCGCCUGCUCUUCAUGUAUAACUAUCUUCUCUCUACACACCUGACUCAGUGCUACAGUCUCCUCAGGAUAGUUCUGUUCAAGUUGUAUAUGAGCAUAUGAGCAUGUGAGCAUGGAGUAAAUGAAGUGGCUAUGAAAUAAAUUCCAUGCUCAUUAAUGCUUAGAGUGAAAUCCAUGUGGUGUGGUAAAAAUGGUAAGGUGAAUGUGGUAAAAAAAGGAAAAGAAAAAGGAUACACGGACGACUUGGUUCGAAACUAGCACAACUACCGUUCCCCGGCAACGGCGCCAGAAAGCUUGUUGGGUAUUUUAAACACAAACAGAAAAAUCCGCAAGCGCACGGAUACCGAUGUAGCCUUCACCCGGGAGUAUUCCAGAGUAUCGAUUUUCCACAGAGAACGUGAGUGUACUAAUUAAGAUCCAAAAUCGCCCAAGGAUAACUAUAUAAUUAUUUUUGGUGGGAAGAGAGGAAGUUUCCUGAGAGUUCUCUAGUUGAUCUAAGAAUCAAGAAUUACUUCAAGAUUAUCUAUAUCGGGACAUCAGAGCACUAACCACAGAAAGAGAUGAGAAGGGGGCUAGGAAGGUCUGACUACGGUCCUACAAACACCGAUCAGAACGUGGUGGAAUACGUCGACCGUUAGGGCUGUCACUACCCUAAGGCUACCACAACAAUCCGCAGGAUUGGGUGCAAUUCCAGGUAAUUGCAAGACUAAACACCACGUCUAAUCUAUUAAUUACUACUCUAGCGUUAUAAAGACUAGAGCACUUGAUGCAAGCGGGAAUCCAAUAAAUAACUUGAAUGUAAAUAAAAGUAAUUAAAGAACUCAAGAAUUGUGAAUUGAAGAACCUGGAGAACGAUGAAGAACAAACCAGUUGCUGCAAAAGUAUAAUGUUGAGGAAGAUCCGACAGACCCGGCUCCUCCUCCGCUCUCCUCUUCUCUCUCCCUAUUUUCUAGAUUACAACUAGAACUAACUAGAACUAGAACUAGAGGAACUAGAACUAGAACUAGAUGAACUAGAACUAGAACUAGAACUAGAUGAACUAGAGGUAGAACUAGAAGAACUAGAGGGAUCCUCUCUACUUGGAUGAAGAAUUGAAACCCUAGCUUUGAUUCUGUAGAAGAGGUAUGCUCUCCAGGGGCCAGGGGGCCUUGCUUAUAUAGUCUUUUCAGAUGAAUCUGGGCCGUCGGAUCAAACCGACAUUAAUCGCACGGUUUUCCUUGGUCCCUUAGGUCGGUAGAGCACGAUCCGUGAAGUUGAAGCUGAUUGGUUACUGUAGCUGGGCGGGCACCCAAGGGACUUGGGCGGGCGCCCUGCCCCUGGGCCCGAUCGGCCUCCCGUUCGUUCCUGUGGCUUCUAGAGUCUUCUAGAUGGUAGAAAAUUGCGCGGCACGUUAAUAUCUCUAUGUAAACCCGACGUGUGGGCCUUUCUUUCAUAUUUCCUGAUAACCCCCUGCAGAAAUAGACAAACAACAAAACUCGUGGAAUUAUGUCAGAUAAAACCCUAAGUCUGGGUGUUGGUUGCAUUUGGAUCCUUUUCCAUGAUUAGUUGAUGGUUAAAUGUGAGCAUUAAGGACCGUCAACGAGCUCCCCCAAGCUUAACCUUUUCUCGUCCCUGAGCAAAGAUGGACUCAAGAGUUUCUGCAGUGGUUUUAUGCCUUAAAAAUACACAUUCGUUCAAACAAGAUCUCAUCUCUAGGUUAGGGUAAACUGUUAAAAUUUAAACUUACUCAUAUUACCUUCCACCAUGGGGCUUGCAACCGUCACUUGUGUCUUGAGCAGUUAAAAGAUAGAACGGUCUAGUCAAGCGCCAUGUCUCUUAUUCUUGAUCAACUAUAGCUCUAGAGUUUUUGCAGAUUUUCAAAUAAAACUCAGAGAUUCCUUAUAUGACUCUUUCUAGACUCUCUUUUGUGGUAUUUCUGGAUCCUUACCAAGGCAGUAAUGGUGUAUGCCUUCUCUCAAAGUAUGUGGUAUUUUUGGUUUGAGGCAUAGUGGCAUUACCUUCUCUCUCACCCUACUCUAAUAAGGUUUUGAUAUCUGGAGCUCAUAGGUGGGAGACAGCUAAUACAUACUUACAAGACAUUUAUUGCAUAGUCAAACCAUGGAUCCAGAAGAACAAGUCAAUAAGUCAAAUCAAGAUGUGCAUCUGUGGCGAAUGAAUGGU
rnacentral:lncRNA from 1 species